GGAGAGCUCGAGCUCCGCCAUGGCCUCGGCCCUUUCCCUCCGGGAGCACCGCGCUGCAGCUGCGGAGUAGACGCCACCAAGCGCGGACUUUGGCGAGAGGUCCUGCUCGUGGCAUUGGGCGUGAGCGCGACUCCGGUAACCCCGGCGCCCUCUCACAGUAUUGGUGGGCCAUGCGCUUGUCCCAUCUCCGGCGGCCGGCGGCAGCGCCACGCGGGGCUCGUUCGCUUAGGUGCAUCCCGCCGCAUCCAUCUCGCUCUCCCAUCGUCGCUGCGCCUAGACAGCAUGCGCUCAACCUUCCCCGUAUACUCUCUUCCUCCACUGCUGUGCAUGUAUCUAAGCUCUUCCGUCAGUGAUGCUGUAUAGGAGGGAGUUCAGGAGUACGCACACAAGUUAUUCGACGAAAUACCACUUCGAUUGAGGUAGCAGGCUCAGGACAUCUAAGCCUCAAAGUCGCUGCUACAAGAUUGUAUCCUGC
rnacentral:lncRNA from 1 species